AUUGAACGCUGGCGGUAUGCUUAACACAUGCAAGUCGAACGGCAGCAGCAGAGCUUGCUCUGGCUGGCGAGUGGCGGACGGGUGAGUACAACUUAGGAAUCUAUCCAGUAGCUGGGGAUAACCCGGGGAAACUCGGGCUAAUACCGAAUACGCACUACGGUGGAAAGAGGGGGAUCUUCGGACCUCUCACUAUUGGGUGAGCCUAAGCCGGAUUAGCUGGUUGGUGGGGUAACGGCCUACCAAGGCGACGAUCCGUAGCUGGUCUGAGAGGACGAUCAGCCACACUGGGACUGAGACACGGCCCAGACUCCUACGGGAGGCAGCAGUGGGGAAUAUUGGACAAUGGGGGCAACCCUGAUCCAGCAAUACCGCGUGUGUGAAGAAGGCCUGCGGGUUGUAAAGCACUUUCAGUAGGGAAGAAAAGUUGGUGGUUAAUAGCUGCCGGAUUUGACGUUACCUACAGAAGAAGCACCGGCUAACUCCG
rnacentral:rRNA from 1 species